rnacentral:rRNA from 1 species
AAACCAACAGGGAUUGCCUCAGUAACGGCGAGUGAAGCGGCAAAAGCUCAAAUUUGAAAUCUAGCACUUUCAGUGUUCGAGUUGUAAUUUGAAGAAGGUAACUUUGGUUUUGGCUCUUGUCUAUGUUCCUUGGAACAGGACGUCACAGAGGGUGAGAAUCCCGUGCGAUGAGAUGCCCAAUUCCAUGUAAAGUGCUUUCGAAGAGUCGAGUUGUUUGGGAAUGCAGCUCUAAGUGGGUGGUAAAUUCCAUCUAAAGCUAAAUAUUGGCGAGAGACCGAUAGCGAACAAGUACAGUGAUGGAAAGAUGAAAAGAACUUUGAAAAGAGAGUGAAAAAGUACGUGAAAUUGUUGAAAGGGAAGGGCUUGAGAUCAGACUUGGUAUUUUGCGUUCCCUUCCUUUUUGGUUGGGUUCCUCGCAGUUUACUGGGCCAGCAUCGGUUUGGAUGGUAGGAUAAUGACAUUGGAAUGUAGCUUUACUUCGGUGAAGUGUUAUAGACUUUGUUGAUACUGCCUAUCUAGACCGAGGACUGCGUCUUUGACUAGGAUGCUGGCGUAAUGAUCUUAAGCCGC